CCUGGUUAAAACUCUGUAUAGACUGUUGACAAGCCAUCGCUUUGUCGAAGUAUCAGUUUCUCUAAUUUUAAAGCCUAGACACUCACGCAGUGGGAUUUACAUAGGACACCUUACAGCUUAAAGCCCCAUGCCACAAGUGUACUAGAUAACUCAACGCACGUUCUCUUCCUCCGGACCUGGAAUAGGCAUUUACAUAAGAGAAGCAAGAGACUUGCAGGCUGGGAGAUCCCAAUAUCCACAAGCCAGAAGGUGCAUGCAAACCUUCUGCUCAACAAGAGAGUUAUGGACAGGGAAGAGGAAACAACAGUCAAACAAGCCAAAGUCUAGCACAGCUCUGAAUGUGACACCAUGGAUCUAUUGGUUAUCCGGUACCUUGUUUAGUGGGUACAAUGUACAUAAAACAUGAAAAGUGAAGAAAAGAAGUUCUGUUUCAUGUGGUCAGCAGAUCCCAAGAACAUGGCCAUUCCAAGCAUACCCAGAACAGCAAUCUGCCAAGCCAACAACCAAAUGAAAAGGCAAGUCAGAAUGUACUUCGUCCCUCAAAUCCAUGUGGCUCCUGCUGAAUUUCACCUUUAAAAAUGCCUUGAGAGCAGCAAGGGCAGACUGCUGGUGGAACUCCUUAUGCAAUCCCAUGGUAACCUGAUCCCAUGGAGCAAGGGUAACGACAACAGUGACAUCAUUCUGAGCUGUGCCCAGGAGCUCGGUGCUUGGCAUGCUUUGUGUCUCCUCUGAGCUUUUGAUGGUGUUAUGGUACCUGCAUGCAUUGCAUUGGCCUCUGCGCAUGACUUGUGAGACUUUCUCAGGCAUGACCUCCUUGAAACAUGUCGCUCCAAUCCCUGAGAGGGAUCGUGGAUUGUCCCUUCCCUGACGACCACACCAGCAACCCUGUAGUUUCAUGUUUGCUUUGUUCACCAGCUAUCAGGAAACUCCACGCUCAGUUUGCAAGGCACAGAGGCCCACAAAUAUGUGUGUUGUGGACACUGAUCUUCUGACUUUCUUAGAAUGUUCUGUUUAUAUUUGUUUUCCUUUUCCCUCAUUUCCUCAUCAGAAUUAGUCUGGAGCUGCUCUGAUUCCAAUCUUUUUUAAGUUGGAGAAGAGAAACAUUAGACAAUUAAGCAUUUUAACGAUCGCAAUGUAUUAUAAUUGACCAUCUGUGAUGGCUGAUCUUCAUUAUCAGCUAGGAGGGCUGCCUAGGCGAUUAGUAAAAACACAUCUCUGUAUGUGCCUGUAUGUAUGCGGUGGGGUAUGUUCCAGAGAUGACUGAACCAUGAGGGCUCUGAUCUAAUAAAUAGUUUUAUCCAUUAAUGAACUCAAAAUCUGAAUAGGAUUUUGGGGGGUGAUGAAACUGUGGAAAUAGAGCCCGACUGAAGGAAGUGUGUCCUUGUGAGCUGUAUCUCACCCUGAUCCCUUCUGUACGCCCUCUUCUCUUGGUUUCUUGUCUUCCGUGAAGAAGCCUCACCGAACGUUCCAGCUGCCAUGAUGUUCCACCCCAGUGAAUGGGACUAAGUGAUCAUGGAUAAACUGAAACUGUGCAUCUAACUAAGCUCCUCCUUCCUUACGCUGUUUCUCUCAAUAUCUGCUUGGAGGUGAAAAGCUAACUAAUAUAAUUGGUGUGUGUGUGUGUGUGUGUGUGUGUGUGU